GCGCUUCGGCGGUGCAUAUACUAAAAUUGGAACGAUACAGAGAAUAUUAGCAUCGCCCUCUGCAAGAAAUGGUAAUCAUAAGCAUUUUACAAUUCA
rnacentral:snRNA from 1 species